GAUGAACGCUGGCGGCGUGCUUAACACAUGCAAGUCGAACGGAAAGGCUCCUGCUUGCCGGGGUACUCGAGUGGCGAACGGGUGAGUAACACGUGGGUGAGCUGCCCUGCACUUCGGGAUAAGCCGGGGAAACUGGGUCUAAUACCGGAUAGGACGAUGGUUUGGAUGCCAUUGUGGAAAGUUGUUGCGGUGGGGGAUGAGCUCGCGGCCUAUCAGCUUGUUGGUGGGGUAAUGGCCUACCAAGGCGUCGACGGGUAGCCGGCCUGAGAGGGUGUACGGCGACAUUGGGACUGAGAUACGGCGCGGACUCGUACGGGAGGCAGCAGUGGGGAAUAUUGCACAAUGGGCGCACGCCUGAUGCAGCGACGCCGCGUGGUGGAUGACGGCCUUCGGGUUGUAAACUCCUUUCGCUAGGGACGAAGCGCAAGUGACGGUACCUGGAGAAGAAGCACCGGCUAACUACGUG
rnacentral:rRNA from 1 species